GACGUAGGGAGCAAGCGUUGUCCGGAAUUACUGGGCGUAAAGAGCUCGUAGGCGGGAUCGUAAGUCUCAGAGUAAAUCUCACGGCUCAACUGUGGGGCCUUCUGAGAUACUGCGAUUCUUGAGGAUGUCAGAGGAAAGUGGAAUUCCCGGUGUAGCGGUGAAAUGCGUAGAUAUCCGGAGGAACACCAGUGGCGAAGGCGGCUUUCUGGACCAAUACUGACGCUGAGACGCGAAAGCGUGGGGAGCAAACAGGAUUAGAAA
rnacentral:rRNA from 1 species